rnacentral:lncRNA from 1 species
AAUAGAUCCAACUUUCGUCUGUAUAAAAAUUGGCCCAGAAGACUAAUAAGCCGAGUAAAAUUGAGAUGAGUACAAUAAAUUGAAUAUAAUUGCGGUCCAUAAUAAAAUAUAGGGUUAAUUGGAUACAGCUUCCAGUAAACAUAUCGAAUAGCAGAUAUAUCUCUACAAAUUUCAACUUUUUAUUUUUAUUCCUGCAAAAGUCUACCUUUUUCAAAUAUACCUUUGUUGUUAGAAUCCGUUAGAAAAAUAUAGUUAACAAUGAGUAAAAUACUUAAUCCUGAUUAGUGAAUGAGUUAAAUUAACCUUUUUACCCCUCUUGUAUUAUUGGAUAAAAUAUUUUUUUGGAAGGAUAUAUCUAUAUAAUUCUAAUAGUUGAGGUUUUUGGAGAGAUAUAUUUAUAAGGACAAAAGUUUUAUUUCACUUAACUAUAGUUAAAAAAUAAAUUAUGUUCUAACGGUGACAAAUCAGAAAUGUAAAUAUGAAUAUUACUAGACUUUCGAAAGAAUAAAAAUAAGAAGUUAAACUUUAGAAAAAUAUAUUUACUAUUCGAUAUGUUUAUAGAGAACCAUAUGCAAUUAACCCAGUCUCUUAUCAUAAAAAAUUUAAUAAUAGAUCUAAAAUUCAGAUAAAUUGAAUUAGAUCGAAAUUCGUAAAUACUGUGUGUCUAUGUCUGAACCAAUUAUCUUUUCUAUUUUUAGAAAUAAACUUAGCUGAAAAAUAUGAAUCAAUUAUGAUUCGAAUUUGGGACCUCGGAUACUAAUCACCAAGUUCUUUGUCACUUGCAUUAUAAUCUGCCAGUUGUAUCAGAGUUAAAGAAUCCACAAC